AACGCGAAGAACCUUACCAGGUCUUGACAUCCCGCUGCCCGGUGUAGAGAUACAUCUUUCCCUUCGGGGACAGCGGUGACAGGUGGUGCAUGGUUGUCGUCAGCUCGUGUCGUGAGAUGUUGGGUUAAGUCCCGCAACGAGCGCAACCCUUGAUCUUAGUUGCCAGCAUUCAGUUGGGCACUCUAAGGUGACUGCCGGUGACAAACCGGAGGAAGGUGGGGAUGACGUCAAAUCAUCAUGCCCCUUAUGACCUGGGCUACACACGUGCUACAAUGGACGGUACAGAGGGUCGCGAACCCGCGAGGGGGAGCCAAUCCCAUAAAACCGUUCCCAGUUCGGAUUGUAGGCUGCAACUCGCCUACAUGAAGCCGGAAUCGCUAGUAAUCGUGGAUCAGCAUGCCACGGUGAAUACGUUCCCGGGUCUUGUACACACCG
rnacentral:rRNA from 1 species